AGUGAACGCUGGCGGUAGGCCUAACACAUGCAAGUCGAACGGCAGCACAGUAAGAGCUUGCUCUUACGGGUGGCGAGUGGCGGACGGGUGAGGAAUACAUCGGAAUCUACUUUUUCGUGGGGGAUAACGUAGGGAAACUUACGCUAAUACCGCAUACGACCUACGGGUGAAAGCAGGGGAUCUUCGGACCUUGCGCGAAUGAAUGAGCCGAUGUCGGAUUAGUUAGUUGGCGGGGUAAAGGCCCACCAAGGCGACGAUCCGUAGCUGGUCUGAGAGGAUGAUCAGCCACACGGGAACUGAGACACGGUCCAGACUCCUACGGGAGGCAGCAGUGGGGAAUAUUGGACAAUGGGCGCAAGCCUGAUCCAGCCAUACCGCGUGGGUGAAGAAGGCCUUCGGGUUGUAAAGCCCUUUUGUUGGGAAAGAAAAGCAGCAGGUUAAUACCCCGCUGUUCUGACGGUACCCAAAGAAUAAGCACCGGCUAACUUCGUG
rnacentral:rRNA from 1 species